rnacentral:rRNA from 1 species
GACGAACGCUGGCGGCGUGCUUAACACAUGCAAGUCGAACGGAAAGGCCAUGCUUUUGUGGGUUGCUCGAGUGGCGAACGGGUGAGUAACACGCGAGUAACCUGCCCUUGACUUUGGGAUAACUUCAGGAAACUGGGGCUAAUACCGGAUAGGAGAUCCUGCUGCAUGGUGGUGGUUGGAAAGUUUCGGCGGUUGGGGCUGGACUCGCGGCUUAUGAGCUUGUUGGUGGGGUAGGUGCUUACCAAGGCUUUGAAGGGUAGCCGGCCUGAGAGGGUGACCGGCGACAUUGGGACUGAGGGACGGCCCAGACUCGUACGGGAGGCAGCAGUGGGGAAUAUUGCACAAUGGGCGGAAGCCUGAUGCAGCAGCGCCGCGUGCGGGAUGACGGCCUUCGGGUUGUAAACCGCUUUCGCCUGUGACGAAGCGUGAGUGACGGUAAUGGGUAAGGAAGCACCGGCUAACUACGUG